UACGUAGGGGGCGAGCGUUGUCCGGAGUUACUGGGCGUAAAGGGCCCGCAGGCGGUCGAUCGCGUUUGGGGUGACAGCUGGUGGCUUAACUGCCAGAGGGCCUCGAAGACGGAUGGACUUGAGGGCCGACGAGGGACACGGAAUUCCGGGUGGAGUGGUGAAAUGCGUAGAUAUCCGGAGGAACACCGAAGGCGAAGGCAGUGUCCUGGGAGGCCCCUGACGCUGAGGGGCGAAAGCUAGGGGAGCGAACGGG
rnacentral:rRNA from 1 species